rnacentral:rRNA from 1 species
CUAACACAUGCAAGUCGAGCGGAAACGAUCCUAGCUUGCUAGGAGGCGUCGAGCGGCGGACGGGUGAGUAAUGCAUAGGAAUCUGCCCGGUAGUGGGGGAUAACUUGAGGAAACUCAAGCUAAUACCGCAUACGCCCUACGGGGGAAAGCAGGGGCUCUUCGGACCUUGCGCUAUCGGAUGAGCUUAUGUCGGAUUAGCUGGUUGGUGAGGUAACGGCUCACCAAGGCGACGAUCCGUAGCUGGUCUGAGAGGAUGAUCAGCCACAUCGGGACUGAGACACGGCCCGAACUCCUACGGGAGGCAGCAGUGGGGAAUAUUGGACAAUGGGGGCAACCCUGAUCCAGCCAUGCCGCGUGUGUGAAGAAGGCCCUCGGGUUGUAAAGCACUUUCAGCGAGGAAGAAUGCUUGUCGGUUAAUACCCGGCAAGGGAGACAUCACUCGCAGAAGAAGCACCGGCUAACUCCGUGCCAGCAGCCGCGGUAAUACGGAGGGUGCGAGCGUUAAUCGGAAUUACUGGGCGUAAAGCGUGCGUAGGCGGCUUGAUAAGCCGGUUGUGAAAGCCCCGGGCUCAACCUGGGAACGGCAUCCGGAACUGUUAGGCUAGAGUGCAGGAGAGGAAGGUAGAAUUCCCGGUGUAGCGGUGAAAUGCGUANAGAUCGGGAGGAAUACCAGUGGCGAANGCGGCCUUCUGGACUGACACUGACGCUGAGGUACCAAAGCGUGGGUAGCAAACAGGAU